GAUGAACGCUGGCGGCGUGCCUAAUACAUGCAAGUCGAACGCAUCACUUCGGUGAAGAGUGGCGAACGGGUGAGUAAUACAUAAGUAACCUGGCAUCUACAGGGGGAUAACUGAUGGAAACGUCAGCUAAGACCGCAUAGGUGUAGAGAACGCAUGAACUCUAUAUGAAAAGUGCUACGGGACUGGUAGAUGAAGGACUUAUGGCGCAUUAGCUGGUUGGUAGGGUAACGGCCUACCAAGGCGACGAUGCGUAGCCGACCUGAGAGGGUGACCGGCCACACUGGGACUGAGACACGGCCCAGACUCCUACGGGAGGCAGCAGUAGGGAAUUUUCGGCAAUGGGGGAAACCCUGACCGAGCAACGCCGCGUGAAGGAAGAAGUAAUUCGUUAUGUAAACUUCUGUCAUAGAGGAAGAACGGUGGAUAUAGGGAAUGAUAUCCAAGUGACGGUACUCUAUAAGAAAGCCACGGCUAACUACGUGCCAGCCGCCGCCGUAA
rnacentral:rRNA from 1 species